rnacentral:miRNA from 1 species
UGGUCAAGGCCUGUCGCCGCUGU